rnacentral:rRNA from 1 species
UACGAAGGGGGCUAGCGUUGCUCGGAAUCACUGGGCGUAAAGCGCACGUAGGCGGCUUUCUAAGUCAGGGGUGAAAUCCUGGAGCUCAACUCCAGAACUGCCCUUGAUACUGGAAAGCUUGAGUUCGGGAGAGGUGAGUGGAACUGCGAGUGUAGAGGUGAAAUUCGUAGAUAUUCGCAAGAACACCAGUGGCGAAGGCGGCUCACUGGCCCGAUACUGACGCUGAGGUGCGAAAGCGUGGGGAGCGAACAGG